UCUUACCCAACAUUUCUGUGCGUACGCACCGUUUAUACAUGAGGCCCUAGGAGCGGAGUACAUCCGUGUACUAGACGUUCGGAGACUUUUAUUUUGAAACAAACCGUUGUCGUCAGUACAGGAAGUCCGGCUGGCUUUACAAGCGGACCAUUCGGUGCAUCACGUUGUUUCAAGUUGCUCGGAUACAAAAUGGAGCUGACGAAGUUUGACCGAGGCCAGGUGGUGGGAGUGUUAUUGGCAGGAAAGUCGCAGAAACAGAUUGUUGAAAUCACAGGCUUACCGGAAUCUUCAGUGAAUAAAGUCAUUGCUGACUGGAAUCAAGGACUCAUCGAUCCAAAGACAGGAAUGUACGUUGAGCCGAACCAACAAGAUGCAGAAGUUAAAACAGACAUUGGUAAGAAGAAAAAGAAAUGAGGCCUCAUUGGGGAAGCAGUUGAUGGACUCUGUUGGAACACAAUGUUUAAAGACGUGAUUAUGGAACAGUGGACAGGAGUAAAAUGGACUGCAAACUUGAGGCCGCAAGAUGUGAUGGUGACUCCUGGUUUGAAAACUGAAGUGAAACAUUUUCCUCAAUAAACAAACAAAGAUUAAA